UCGCCCCUCUCCCUCUCCACAACGGAGUUUUCCCUUUUUCUCUCUCUACUCCCAUGUCCGGCCAUCACUACCGUCGGCCGAUCUCCCUCACCGAAGCUUCGCAAGCCAAACCCUUGCGCCACCAACUCCGCCUCGCCCAGACCGUACAUCAAGUUUUAUCAGCAUCCAAGGAGCUGACGUGGACCCAGAUGGCUACGCUAAAGCCGCGGGAAAUCUUAAGGCGCAAGGCAAGACAUAGCUAAAAUUUUGAUCAUAUAGAAAACUUAAUAUAAUCUUCAUUUUAUGCAUGAUACCUUACCCUUUUAACAUCUCAUGGGUAGAUGUUAAAUGCUUCCAAGUAUUAUUGCAUGAGGUUAUAAAAAGAAGCAUUGGUUAUCAUUUUAUGUGAUUUACUAUUCCAAACAACUUUACAAACUUAGGAAUCCGGUUAAAAUGGGCAUUUAUGAAUUGAGAUUAUGAAUGUUGAGAAUUAUGAAUGUUGAUGAAUGAUGAAGUUUGUGAUUUUGGUGUGGGGAGUUUGGAAAGUUUUGGGUGGUUUAACCGGAUUAUAAUUACCCCCUUAUACCAUGGAAAUGACAUAGUGGCGUCCAUCCACACAAUCAAGUAAUUGAACUUAGCCUAGUACAUUGUCCCACUAUAUGAAAGACUGUUGGGUGGCUCUAUGAGCGGUAUUGGGGUGAACUUGCGUAAGGAGUUUGGGCGGCAGUGUUUCACAACAGUGGGAUUCAUGAAAGUGUGACGAUAUAGAUACCUUGCCUAGGCCUGGCAAGAGUUCGACCACUAUGAUGAACCAAGACCCCACUGUGCAGUAACUAGUAGUAAGUGGGACCUUCGAACGGCUCUGUUGUUCUCAGCCUAGCUAGCUGUGGGCAUCGUGUGGGUAAAGCUGGACAGUCUCUGCAGAGGUGAAUUAAAUCAUUCGAAUGUGCCGUACUCCCGAUUCUGGAGUUGUGUCAUUAGGGUGAUUCCUACUCCUGAAGUAUAAGCAGUUUUAAAAUUAAAAUGUUGAGGAUAAAGAUGAUUUAUGGUUUUUAUUAUUCCUUUACUUUAUUAUUGUUUAUUUAUUCAUAUCUAUUCACCUUUAAUUAUUUAUAAUAUGUCUUGCUGAGUACAUAAGUACUCACCCUUGCAUAAUUUGACAUAUAGAGUAAAUGUGCUAACAAGGAGAUCAGAAGGAAGCGAGAUCUACGACAACGAUAAGUUUUUCUAGGAUAGUCUACACUCGAGCUUUUGCCUGUGGAGUUCUUUGAAAUUCUUUGGAAUUUAUUAAUUGUAGUUCUAGUAGUUGAAUAAGUUUAGGAGUUUAGUACUUUGGAUUUUCUUGUAUUUCAAAUAAGGAUAUUUUAGUUUGGAUCUUUUCACCUUUUAACAGUAGUAUAAUUAGCUUGUAUGAACAAACCUGUGUAAAUAAUUGAAAGCUGUUCUGUAUAUCAAUCUGUGCGUGAUCGAAAUCCUGGACGAUCACGAGUGGAUUUUUGGGGCA